UACAGAGGGUGCAAGCGUUAAUCGGAAUUACUGGGCGUAAAGCGCACGCAGGCGGUUGGUUAAGUCAGAUGUGAAAGCCCCGGGCUCAACCUGGGAAUUGCAUUUGAAACUGGCCAACUAGAGUACGUGAGAGGGUGGUAGAAUUCCAAGUGUAGCGGUGAAAUGCGUAGAGAUUUGGAGGAAUACCAGUGGCGAAGGCGGCCCCCUGGCACAACACUGACGCUCAGGUGCGAAAGCGUGGGGAGCAAACAGG
rnacentral:rRNA from 1 species